UUGAACCAGUCAUGAGUAUCAAACUUUGUACAAAGCCAGGGUCACCCCACAACCCAGCGACCGUUGGGAAAAAAAAUGUGAUGGGCCGUGCUCCGUUAGUUGUUUGCUAUCUUUUUCCUCGAUCAGUCCCCGUACCACGACAGGGGAUCAGGUGACAUGAAAACUUUUUGGGGGGCCGGGUGCAGGGGUUUGUACAUAAAAAUAGGUUUCAUAGAGAUGAAGAGAAUGUCAAGGGAAAGUUGUUGCGCAGCAGAGAGCCAGGGCGCGCUGUGAAGGAAUACGAUGAGGGCGGUGACAACAGGAAAGAUGAAGGAUCCGAGUUCUGAGUGCAAGAGAGGAAAGGAAAGAGGAAGGGAAACAUCGCUUGUUGCCUCCCACACACGCCCAGACUGGGGAUCUGUGCCUGGACCAGGGAUCCAACCCCUUGGACCAGGGAUCUAACCUGCAACCUAGGAGAGCUUUACUGGAUUGUCCCAAAUGAUGCAGACAUAACAUCCUUGCGUGUGCACACGCAUGCACACAGCUGCACAUGUCCCUGGUUGCAUUCACACACUUGAUACCCACACACCAGCCUGGAUGAUUGCACCCAAACCAAGGGCAUCCUUCUCAGACGGGUGCCGUGAGGACCGGCUUGCUGACUGUGCAGGCUGCGGAAGUGCUCAUCAGAGUAACGUGGCUUCACUAACCGUCCCUGGAGCAGCUGUGUGAGGAGAGCGAGGGGCGGCAGUGGGGCGUGACCUCACAGGCCCUUCCCCCAGCUCGAACGGGUUUCUCAAGCGAUAUUUUGCCAUCUCCACCAAGGAGUCCUCAUCUGUGCCCAGAGUUGUGGUGUCUGGAGCUGCGCUGUCCAAUACAGUAGCCACUGGCCACAUGUGGCUGUUGAGCUCUUGAAAGAUGGCUAGUGCAACUGAGGAGUGGACUUUUAAAAUUUAUUUCAUUAUAGUUCCAUCUAAAUCUGAAAAACAAUCCUUGAUUUAGUUAUUGGAAAACUUUUAAUAUGUUUCAAAAGCUUGGAUGUGUGAGUCAACUUUUUCAACAGUGAAUUUUAUGAAACCUAAAUACCAAAACGAUAUUUCUGGUGAAAAUGUAGUGAGCAAAUUGGAAUGUGCUGUGAGUGUAAAAUAUACAGUGGAUUUCAAAGGCCUAAUAUGACAAAACCGUGUAAAAUAUUUCAUUACUAAUUUUUAUAUUGCUAUGUUGAAAUGACAAUAGCCUGGGU